rnacentral:rRNA from 1 species
AUUGAACGCUGGCGGCAUGCUUUACACAUGCAAGUCGAACGGUAACAGGGAGCUUGCUCCGCUGACGAGUGGCGAACGGGUGAGUAAUGCGUCGGAACGUGCCGAGUAGUGGGGGAUAACGCAUCGAAAGGUGUGCUAAUACCGCAUACGUACUGAGGUAGAAAGUGGGGGACCUUCGGGCCUCACGCUAUUCGAGCGGCCGACGUCUGAUUAGCUAGUUGGUGAGGUAAAGGCUCACCAAGGCGACGAUCAGUAGCGGGUCUGAGAGGAUGAUCCGCCACACUGGGACUGAGACACGGCCCCGACUCCUACGGGAGGCAGCAGUAAGGAAUAUUGGUCAAUGGACGCAAGUCUGAACCAGCCAUGCCGCGUGGAGGAUGAAGGCCCUCUGGGUUGUAAACUUCUUUUCUUUGGGACGAAACCCCUGUUUCUACGGGGACUGACGGUACCAGAGGAAUAAGCACCGGCUAACUCCGUGCCAGCCGCCGCGGUAAAAC